rnacentral:rRNA from 1 species
UGGGGGAUAUUGCACAAUGGGGGAAACCCUGAUGCAGCGACGCCGCGUGAGCGAUGAAGUAUUUCGGUAUGUAAAGCUUUAUCAGCAGGGAAGAAGAUGACGGUACCUGACCAAAAAGCCCCGGCUAACUACGCGCCAGCAGCCGCGGUAAUACGUAGGGGGCAAGCGUUAUCCGGAUUUACUGGGUGUAAAGGGAGCGUAGACGGCGAUGCAAGCCUGGAGUGAAAGGCGGGGGCUCAACCCCCGGACUGCUUUGGGAACUGCAUGGCUGGAGUGUCGGAGAGGCAGGCGGAAUUCCUAGUGUAGCGGUGAAAUGCGUAGAUAUUAGGAGGAACACCAGUGGCGAAGGCGGCCUGCUGGACGAUGACUGACGUUGAGGCUCGAAAGCGUGGGGAGCAAACAGG